rnacentral:rRNA from 1 species
CCUACGGGUGGCAGCAGUCGAGAAUCAUUCACAAUGGGGGAAACCCUGAUGGUGCGACGCCGCGUGGGGGAAUGAAGGUCUUCGGAUUGUAAACCCCUGUCAUGUGGGAGCAAAUUAAAAAGAUAGUACCACAAGAGGAAGAGACGGCUAACUCUGUGCCAGCAGCCGCGGUCAUACAGAGGUCUCAAGCGUUGUUCGGAAUCACUGGGCGUAAAGCGUGCGUAGGCUGUUUCGUAAGUCGUGUGUGAAAGGCGCGGGCUCAACCCGCGGACGGCACAUGAUAAUGCGAGACUAGAGUAAUGGAGGGGGAACCGGAAUUCGCGGUGUAGCAGUGAAAUGCGUAGAUAUCGAGAGGAACACUCGUGGCGAAGGCGGGUUCCUGGACAGUAACUGACGCUGAGGCACGAAGGCCAGGGGAGCGAAAGGGAUUAGAUACCCGUGUAGUC